rnacentral:rRNA from 1 species
UACGUAGGGAGCAAGCGUUGUCCGGAAUCAUUGGGCGUAAAGCGCGCGUAGGCGGCCUCAUAAGUCCGUUGUGAAAGUCAAAGGCUCAACCUUUGAAAGCCGAUGGAUACUGUGAGGCUAGAGUCCGGAAGAGGCGAGUGGAAUUCCUGGUGUAGCGGUGGAAUGCGCAGAUAUCAGGAGGAACACCGAUGGCGAAGGCAGGUCUCUGGGCCACUACUGACGCUAAGAAGCGAAAGCAUGGGGAGCGAACAGG